UUCACCCUGCCUGAUACGCGAAUGAUUUUUAAAUAACCCUACAACAUUUAAAUUGGGAGCCGGACUCUUUCAAGCGGUGUGCAGACCUCCCGUUUUCGGAAGAAGGGAGCCUGAUGCUUAAAGGUUAGCACCCACCUGCUACUUCGUAGGCAGGUUAUUAUCAAAAUCAUACGGUCAGGCGGGGUUUUA
rnacentral:other from 1 species